rnacentral:rRNA from 1 species
GUCUCUUUGUAUAUUAUAAAUAAAGAGUCGGGCCUGCUCGGUGAACAUAUUGUUUUAACAGCUGCGGUAUUUUAACUGUACUAAGGUAGCAUAAUAAUUUGCCUUAUAAUUUGAGGCUAGAAUGAAUGGUUUGACGAAGGUUAAACUGUCUCUAUUUUAUUUUUUAGAAUUUAAUUUACAAAGUGAAAAAGCUUGUAUCUCUUAAAGGGACGAGAAGACCCUAAUGAGCUUUAAUUUUAUUAGUUUUCUUUAUUAUAAUGAAGAGAUGAUUAUAUAAAUUUUAAUUGGGGUGAUUAAGGAAUAAUAUGUUAUAGGUUAGUAACUUCCUUAAAUUAAAUAUUGUUAGAUAAAUUAACCAAUGAUAUUGCUUAUAAUAGAGUUACCAUAGGGAUAACAGCGUAAUUUAUUUUGAGAGUUCUUAUUGAAAAAUGAGAUUGCGACCUCGAUGUUGGAUUAAAGUAACCUUAAGGUGCAGAAGCUUUAAAAGGUAAAUCUGUUCGAUUUUUAAAACUUUACA